AUUACUUUAAGGUGCUAGUUUAAACUUCAUUGCAAAAGAGCUCUUAGCUGAGAUUAACUGUGUUCCCUUUGGAGAUUUGCCAUCAUAGCUCUACCUUUGUAAAUUUGCUAAUUGAUUCUGUAAUUUAGACAAAUAACUGGUGAUUGCCUGUCCAGCUAUUUGGUAAUGUUUUGCUUAAAUGUCUCACAGAACAUCACCUUGCAGCUUCCAGGAGAUACUGUUCUUUAAUCAGGUGCUCCAGCUUUAAGAAACGAAGUAGAUCUCAAAGGUACAAGACAGGUGGGAAAGAAGGAACUUCCAGUCCAUCCUUAGAAAGUACAAGUAGUGACCUAAGCACCAGUACUUCAGAGGGAAGCACCAGUAAUGUGUCUGGCUCAAGUGAUUUGGAAAGCAGAGUGAGACCACAGCAGCAAAACCCCCUAAUUCCUAUGAUGCUUUCCCCACCAGAAUCACUGUUAGUGUCUUGUGUUUUGAGAGGA
rnacentral:lncRNA from 1 species